rnacentral:rRNA from 1 species
GACGAACGCUGGCGGCGUGCUUAACACAUGCAAGUCGAACGGAAAGGCCCUGCUUUUGUGGGGUGCUCGAGUGGCGAACGGGGGAGUAACACGUGAGUAACCUGCCCUUGACUUUGGGAUAACUUCAGGAAACUGGGGCUAAUACCGGAUAGGAGCUCCUGCUGCAUGGUGGGGGUUGGAAAGUUUCGGCGGUUGGGGAUGGACUCGCGGCUUAUCAGCUUGUUGGUGGGGUAGUGGCUUACCAAGGCUUUGACGGGUAGCCGGCCUGAGAGGGUGACCGGCCACAUUGGGACUGAGAUACGGCCCAGACUCCUACGGGAGGCAGCAGUGGGGAAUAUUGCACAAUGGGCGGAAGCCUGAUGCAGCAACGCCGCGUGCGGGAUGACGGCCUUCGGGUGGUAAACCGCUUUCGCCUGUGACGAAGCGUGAGUGACGGUAAUGGGUAAAGAAGCACCGGCUAACUACGUG